UACGGGGGGGGCAAGCGUUGUUCGGAAUUACUGGGCGUAAAGGGCUCGUAGGCGGCCAACUAAGUCAGACGUGAAAUCCCUCGGCUUAACCGGGGAACUGCGUCUGAUACUGGAUGGCUGGAGUUUGGGAGAGGGAUGCGGAAUUCCAGGUGUAGCGGUGAAAUGCGUAGAUAUCUGGAGGAAGACCAGUGGCGAAGGCGGGUCUCUGGACAGUUCCUGACACUGAGACACGAAGGCCAGGGGAGCAAACGGGG
rnacentral:rRNA from 1 species